rnacentral:lncRNA from 1 species
AAAAAAAAAAAAGAAUUGAUAUGUAAUCUCAGCACUUUGGGAGGCCAAGGCUGGCAUAUCAUGAGGUCAGGAGUUCAAGACCAGUCUGACCAAUAUGGUGAAACCUUGUCUCUACUAAAAAUACAAAAAUUAGCCAGGUGUGGUGGCGCACACCUGUAAUCUCAGCUACUCAGGAGGCUGAGGCAGGAGAAUCGCCUGAACCCAGGAGGCAGAGGUUGCAGUGAGCCGAGAUUGCACCACUGCAUUCCAGCCUGGGUGACAGAGUGAAACUUUGUCUUUAAAAAAAAAAAAAGAGAGAGAGAAAGAAAAUUUAGAAUCAGCUAAAUGCCCACCAAUGGGGGGUGGCUAACUAAAAUGUAGAAUAUUUAUAUAAUAAAAUUCUAUAGAGAAUUUAAAUGAAGCAUGGGCAACAUAGUGAGACCUCAUUUCUACAAACAGUUUUUAAAAAUCAGCCGGGCGUGGUGGCUCCAGCAUGUAGUUGCAACUGCUACUCAGGAGGCUGAGGUGGGAGGAUCACUUGAGCCCAGGAGGUCAAGGCCGCAGUAAGCUGUGAUCGUGCCACUGCACUCAAGCCUGGGUGACAGAGAAAGACCCUGUCUCCAAAAAUAAUAAUAAUAAAAAAUAAAAGAAGUGACUUUGAUCUGCAUGAAUCAACAUGGAUAUAUCUUAGUCAUAUUUUUGAAUGAAAAUAGGAAGUUGCAGAAUUAUUUAUCUAUAUCUAUCUAUUAUAUAUAGAUAGAUGGAUAGUAUCAAUAUUUAAAAAAUUAUUCCCCCAAUGCAAAACUUCAGUUAAUCAUGAAAAAACAUCAAAUAAACCCACAUUGAGGGAAUAUUCUACAAAAUACUUGAUGUGUAAUCUUCAAAAUUGUCAAGGUUGUGAAAGUCAAGGAAAGACUGAGAAACUGUCAGAGAUUGUCGUAUUCACAGAUAGGAGACUAAAGAGAUCUGAUAACUAAACGCAAUGUGGUAUCCUGGAACACAAAAAGGACAUUAGUGAAAAAACUGGUGAAACUGGAAUAAGGUCUGAACUGGAAUAAGGUCUGUAGUUCUGUUAUUAGUAUUGUGCUACUGUUAAUUUCUUAGUUUUGAACCAGGGUUACAUAAAUUGUUAACAUUAAGAGAAGCUGGGUGAAGUGUAUGUUGAAACUUUCUAUACUAGCUCUGCAACUCCUCUGUAAAUCUAAAAUUAUUUCAAAAUAAAAAGCUAAAACAGAACACACAUAAAUAAUACCAUUAUUCCCUAUUAUCAUACAUUAGGUUUAUGAAAGAUUUUUAAAACAGGUCUGUAAAGCUACAUGCCCAAAAUAUAUCAGAAGUUCUCUCUAAGCUAGGGAUAAAGGACCAUUAUUUUAUUGAGAGAAUGUUCAAAGGGAGUAUUGGCUUUCCUUUUAAUGUUUUGGAAGAUAAGUGUAAUCAUGUAUUGCUUUUAUAACAAAAAAUUAAUUCUUUUAAAUGCAAAAGGAUAGAACAAUUUUGCCUCAUGACUUUCAAGGGUAAGAAAAGCCAUGCCAACUCAUGAAACAACCUUCUAACAAAGGGCUGGGAGGCUGAGGAACCAUAAAGAGCUUGCUUGAGGUCUCUAACCUGACAUUAGCUGAAGAGCCUGGGCACUGCUUGGCAAAAGAGGCCACCCCACUGUGGCCUUGGAUGGCCUCUCAUCAACUUCCUGCCAGGCACUCAUGUGACUGUCCUAUCCAAUCUGACCUACACUGUUU